rnacentral:tRNA from 1 species
GAGCUGCUAGCUCAAUUGGUAGAGCAUUUCGUUUACACCGAAAAUGUUGUGGGUUCAAGUCCUACGUAGCUCA